UACGAAGGGGGCUAGCGUUGUUCGGAUUUCCUGGGCGUAAAGCGCACGUAGGCGGAUCGUUAAGUCGGGGGUGAAAUCCUGGAGCUCACCUCCAGAACUGCCUUCGAUACUGGCGAUCUUGAGUCCGGAAGAGGUGAGUGGAACUCCUAGUGUAGAGGUGGAAUUCGUAGAUAUUAGGAAGAACACCAGUGGCGAAGGCGGCUCACUGGUCCGGUACUGACGCUGAGGUGCGAAAGCGUGGGGAGCAAACAGG
rnacentral:rRNA from 1 species